GUGACGACACUGAGUAUGCCAUUAAAUAUCCGUAGGCGGGCCCCGAGCGAUCUCUCGGCCUUAGCGCCAUCUUUUGAGAAACCUCUGCGCCAUGAGAGCGAAGUGGAGAAAGAAGCGAAUGCGCAGGCUGAAGCGCAAAAGAAGAAAGAUGAGGCAGAGGUCCAAGUAAACUUGUACACCCAUGGAAGCCACAGAAGCAGAAACAAGGGAAGCCAGAGGCCAGGGACGCUGGUACAAAUUGUGGACUGCAUGCCUACUAUCUAGAACUUCUCAAUGGAUCUGGAACAUCUAUUGCCAUUCUGAUCGCCUUGACCACCUUUGAGAGACCUACCUUGCUCGUAUC